AUGAACGCUGGCGGCGUGCCUCAUACUUGCAAGUCGAGCGAACAGACGAGGAGCUUGCUCCUCUGACGUUAGCGGCGGACGGGUGAGUAACACGUGGAUAACCUACCUAUAAGACUGGGAUAACUUCGGGAAACCGGAGCUAAUACCGGAUAAUAUAUUGAACCGCAUGGUUCAAUAGUGAAAGACGGUUUUGCUGUCACUUAUAGAUGGAUCCGCGCCGCAUUAGCUAGUUGGUAAGGUAACGGCUUACCAAGGCAACGAUGCGUAGCCGACCUGAGAGGGUGAUCGGCCACACUGGAACUGAGACACGGUCCAGACUCCUACGGGAGGCAGCAGUAGGGAAUCUUCCGCAAUGGGCGAAAGCCUGACGGAGCAACGCCGCGUGAGUGAUGAAGGUCUUCGGAUCGUAAAACUCUGUUAUUAGGGAAGAACAAAUGUGUAAGUAACUAUGCACGUCUUGACGGUACCUAAUCAGAAAGCCACGGCUAACUACGUG
rnacentral:rRNA from 1 species